GUCCCUGUAGCGCAAUGGAUAGCGCGUUGGAAUACUAAUCUCAAGGAUCAUGGGUUCGAAUCCCACCUGGGAUG